UCAGGGCUUUAAGAGACUGGGCCACAGGAAAGAGCAGUUUUGAUUGAAACAAUAGGGAAGACAGAGCUCAAGAAGAGUUUGAUUCAUAGGAUGCUGUGUGGGGAAAUCCUAGACCAUUUUAGCGGAGAAAGAACCUUUCCAGGUUAACCCCUUAAAAGCAAAUCAUGUGACAUUAUAGUUGGAUAGUCAUCCUUCUACAUUUAUGUCUACCUCUGGAAACAUUAAUAAAUAUAGGUUUUUGUUUUAUUUUUACGAGAAAAACCACA